GGGGGCAACCCUGAUCCAGCCAUGCCGCGUGAGUGAUGAAGGCCUUAGGGUCGUAAAGCUCUUUCGCCUGUGAAGAUAAUGACGGUAGCAGGUAAAGAAACCCCGGCUAACUCCGUGCCAGCAGCCGCGGUAAUACGGAGGGGGUUAGCGUUGUUCGGAAUUACUGGGCGUAAAGCGCACGUAGGCGGACCAGAAAGUUGGGGGUGAAAUCCCGGGGCUCAACCCCGGAACUGCCUCCAAAACUAUUGGUCUAGAGUUCGAGAGAGGUGAGUGGAAUUCCAAGUGUAGAGGUGAAAUUCGUAGAUAUUUGGAGGAACACCAGUGGCGAAGGCGGCUCACUGGCUCGAUACUGACGCUGAGGUGCGAAAGUGUGGGGAGCAAACAGGAUUAGAUACCCUGGUAGUCCACACCGUAAACGAUGAAUGCCAGACGUCGGGUAGCAUGCUAUUCGGUGUCACACCUAACGGAUUAAGCAUUCCGCCUGG
rnacentral:rRNA from 1 species